AUGCUUCUCCUAAAGACUAAGCCAUGCAUGCCUUCGAAUAGAAGAGCAAAAAUCUCUUUGAAUCUGCGAACGGCUCCGCACACCAGUUGCAAACCAUAGCGAGCAAAAAGGCCUUAAAAAUAAGCGGGUUUUUACCGAUCUGCUCGUUUUUUUGGCUUUUCUACACAGGGAUAACCCUGGUAAUUCUGAGGCUAAUACAAGAACGUUACAACCUGGUUAAACCGGUAAAUUCAAGUAACCGGGAUAAAUCGGGGGUUGUGUGAUUUUUUCUGCAAAGUCACCUAAAACCGACGAUUCGAUGCACAAUCAGACCACCACAAAAAACGGCCAUUUUUUCUCGUUAGUACUUUUACCGGGAAAACGAGGGAAUUUGAUCGGGUGGCUCUCGCUUCGUGCUUCUGACCUAUCAACUAGAUUGCAGCGUAACGGACAUGCUAUGGUUACAACGGGUACAGAGGAUAAGGGUUCGAUCCUGGAGAGUGGGCCUGAGAGAUUGCUCACACUUCUAAGGAAGGCAGCAGGCGCGUAACGUUCCCAUUGGGUAAAACCUGAGGGCGUUAGGGGAAAUAUGAAUACCUGCCGUUAGGUGGGUAAUUCAAAUGGGACUGUUCUAAACAGCCUA
rnacentral:rRNA from 1 species